ensembl:lncRNA
AUUGACAGGCGGCCAACCCCAUCAGGAACCGAGGAAUCAAACUCACUUCCGUUUCAUUCAAACUCACGUCCGUUUCAUUCAAACUCACUUCCGUUUCAUUCAAACUCACUUCCGUUUCAUUCAAACUCACUUCCGUUUCAUUCAAACCCACUUCCGUUUCAUUCAAACUAUUAAACUCCUUUUACAUGUAAGUAUGAGAGUGUAUAGUCGUGUAUGUGAGAGAUACGGUGGCCGAGAGGGGUCACAACACAUGCAAACGCCGCAACGCCUGCAUAUACAGAAAACACCUGCAAAUUCAGAAAACACCUGCAAAUUCAGAAAACACUUUCAUCGAUUACACAACACGUGCGCUGCAAAUGCCAAAACACAUGCAAAUUCAGAAAAACACCUGCAAAUUCAGAAAAACACAUGCAAACUCAGAAAACCCCUGCAUCGACUUCAUAACACGAGCAAAUAGGGAAACGAACUGCAAGUUAUGACAACGGAAAUGUGUCCCGGGGGACCAUAAUCAGUGACGGACCCAUAUCCGGUUGGCGGUUCUUUUCAAUUACGAAGGUGUUAAGUCGUUUGAUUGUGCUACAAGAGAUUGACGUGUUCUGCCCGUUCUGUGCGGUGCAACUGGGGGACGCUCCCAAGUUUUGCCCGUCAUGUGGGCAGAAUGUGGGGUUCCUUACACAGCUCCCAUCAACUCCAUCCACCUCGUCAAGCGAAGGCUGUGGGCCUACAGAUUUCGAUUGGCAUCAUGUCAAGGACCAAGAAUGGUUUAAAACCUCAAAGAGGGAAAACCAUGCCGUUAAAUGUUGAACCCCAGUGGUCAACAACCCAAAUCUUGCCAGCUGCUUUAAAGAAGCAGCAAGAUUUUAAUCAAAACGCAAUGGUAGAUGGAGAAUAUGUGCUUCUCUAUCCUGAUGGAUCUCAGGUAGAAAAUAUACCUGGUACAGACAGACCUUUUGUUCUUGAACAUUAUAAAGAGGCAAUUGGGAAAUCUUACCAGAGGAUUACGCUGUACAUCUGCCUUCUUCAGGAUUUGAGUAAGUAUUGAAAUGAACUACGGUACAUGUAUGUAAAUAAAUAAAUAAAUAAUAAUAAUAGCUAGUUGGUGGUAAUUGAGUGAGUCCUUAAUGGGAUUCAAAGAGGUUGUGAAAUUGCCACAUAUUUUGGAUAUAUCUAGCCUAAUAAUGAUCUUUUCCAAGGUUAUGGAGAUGACUCAUCUUCAGAAUCCGAUGAUUGUGAAGCAUUUGGUCGGCUUCCAAUGAAAAUGUAAGUUUCUCCUGCUAUUUUGAGACAUGUGCUAGCGAUUUUUGAAUAUCCAUGUAUUUCACAGCAUUCAUUUUUGAAAUUGCUCUAAGGAAUAGAUCAAGCAUGUUGUCCUCUGUAUAACAUAUGGACAAUUACUUAUAUUCUGAUUUAAAUUAAGUGAUUCAAAUUAUUUGUGUGUUUUAGGUCCCCAAAACAAUCUCUGCCAACAACAUCCAGGGCAUCUGGUGGGCAAGUAUGUAUUGUUAUCAAAUGUUAUUAAGUUCCAUGUUACUGAUGUGGUGAUGUAAUUAUUGUUAAUUUGUUUGGUGUUAUCUCUAUCUCUUUCAUCAACAGGCCAAUGGAGCAGGAGCAGGACCCAAAAAGACCACAUCACCAAACACAUCAUGUGAAUUCUACAAGUAAGUCAUAAUGGAUUAAAUUAGUUCUCUUCAGUGCAGUAAUAUCUUUUUUGGCUUUUGGUUUUGCAUGAAAUAUUUGACUGCGGAAAGUAAUUGAUUACAGUACCAAAAAUAACACAUUUUCCAGUAAUUUCACAGCAAUUUCAUUGUUCCUUUUAUCCACAGUACAUAUACAAAUGUAUAUGCACCAGUUGUCAUUGACAGCAGUUCCUCAGAUGUUGAGGAAGUCGACUACUCUCAGGUGGAAGACAGGUACUUUGAUACAAAUAAUGCUGUUAGCCUUGUUAUUUUUUUCUUUCCCUCAGAUGAAAUAUUAAUCGGCCCAAUUACAUUGGGCAUUUUACCUGGUUUCUGUUGCCAUAUUAAAGUAAAUAUUUGAAUUUCAUAUGUUUUUAAUUAAAUGACGCCUUAACAGAAAAACAAUCAGGCAAAAAUUAUUGAAAGCUUGCAACGUGUGCUUCAUGCUUAUGCCCAUCACAUUUCCUCACACUCAUAUGGUGUACUUACUGUAAUGGGUCCAUAAAAUAC